CAAGCUAGUUGGCUAGUCUAACGACUAACUGUCACACUGCGGUUGCCUUGACGACACAGGCAGGGUUCGGAUUAAAGAUGGCGGCCUCAUAGCAAUUAAUCAGGUAUUCAUGACCAGGCAGCUGGUUCGGCAAGUGGACUGUCUGAUGUGUCCCCCACUGUGGCACCAUUACGAUGCAACGGAUCUCCUUCACCUGAGGGUUGUCUGGUGGGCUGGUGCCAUACAGAUCUGAGAUGCAGAUAAACUUCUUGAGGACAUUCUUGGGCAGGAUGUACGUGUAGCCCGUCUCUUUGAUGUCAUCAGAUGAUACGUAGAUAUGGUUCGUUCGCAGAUGGAGGUUAGCAGCAGAUAUGGCCCUGAAGGAGGAAAGAAAGAAGUGAAAUUAAAGCCAAUUCAUAUUGAAAACCAAAA